AACCCCUUCACCUCUCAAAGGCCCAGUGUCCUAUGUGCUUGAGUAACCUCCUUGCUGACUCGCCUAUGUCCAACACCACAGAAAGCAAGCCAGUCCCACCAGGUCUGAACUGUAUACUAUACCCUUGGCAAAUAAUGGAGAUGGAGGAGAAAAAAAGUAGAAGAUGCCAGAGUGCCCAGCCUACUUUACCCACCACUGUCUAACACAGAAUCUGAACAUCAAAUAGGUCACCUUUGAAAUGGGAAAGUAGAUUAGAUUUGAAAUGAGAAGGUAGAUUGAAUUUUGCAUACUAAUACCCAAAUGCUUUAGAAUUAUGUUCCAAGCCAUUUAUUUCUGUUAUUUCAAAUUUUUUCAUUGUAUUUGAAUGUGGUGGCACAUAUCUAUAAUCCCAGCACUUGGAGGUAGAAGCAGAAAAAUUAGGAGUUGAAGGUUGGCUACACAGUGAUUCCUAGGUCAGCCUGGCUACAUAUGAUAUUUCUGCCUUUCUGCCUCGUGUGUGUGUGUGUGUGUGCAUUUGAUAGUAAAGAUAUAAUUUUAAUUUUAAAGCAAACAUAUUUUAUGAGAGUGACAGAUAUAUUAAGAAUUAUAAAGAUGAGUUAGAAGAGCCAUCACCAGUUAAGAGCUAACACUCAGUAGAAGAUAUAAAAUACAUGCAUUACUGACUUUCAACAAUGGAUAAAGUUCAUAAAGGCCUCUAAAAAGGAACAGCUGAAGGAAUAUCUGCUUGAGCUUUGACCCCUUUGUGGAUUUUUUUUUAUAGUUCCUGUGUGGAUAUACACAUGUCAUAUUUAAAAAUGCAUGGCUGAGCCAGGCAGUGGUGGUGCACGCCUUUAAUCCCAGCACUUGGGAGGCAGAGGCAGGGGGAUUUCUGAGUUCAAGGCCAGCUUGGUCUACAGAGUGAGUUCCAGGACAGCCAGAGCUACACAGAGAAACCCUGUCUCAAAAAACCAAAAAAAAUAGCAUGGCUGGUAUGUUUUUUUUAAGUGUAACAACACCUUCAUAGACAGAAAGAGGUAGGGGGUCCAGGGAGAAGAGAGAGAGGGAGGAAAGAAGGAAAGGAGGAGGGGGGAAGGAAAAGGAAUUUAACUAUUUUAUUUUACUUGAAUAUUUUAGACUUAUAACACCAAAUUCGUCUGUUUUUCAUUAUUUGUGAGCACAUAUAUGAUGGCACAUGUCUGCAAUCCCAGGAUUAGGGCUACUGAA
rnacentral:lncRNA from 1 species